GUGCCAGCAGCCGCGGUAAGACGAACCGUGCGAACGUUGUUCGGAAUCACUGGGCUUAAAGGGCGCGUAGGCGGGCUGUCAAGUCUGGGGUGAAAUGCCACGGCUCAACCGUGGAACUGCCUUAGAUACUGACGGCCUCGAGGAAGGUAGGGGCAUGCGGAACUGUAGGUGGAGCGGUGAAAUGCGUUGAUAUCUACAGGAACUCCGGUGGCGAAAGCGGCGUGCUGGACCUUUUCUGACGCUGAGGCGCGAAAGCUAGGGGAGCAAACGGGAUUAGAUACCCCGGUAGUCC
rnacentral:rRNA from 1 species